ensembl:snRNA U6 U6 spliceosomal RNA
CUGCUCUCUUUGGCACCAAAUUUACUAAAAUUAGAGCAAUACACAGGAGAUUAGCAUGGCUCCUUGCAAGGAUAAGAUGCAAUUUCUUGAAUGUUUUCAUGUGUUU